AGAGUUUGAUCCUGGCUCAGAACGAACGCUGGCGGCGUGGAUAAGACAUGCAAGUCGAACGAGAGAAUUGCUAGCUUGCUAAUAAUUCUCUAGUGGCGCACGGGUGAGUAACACGUGAGUAACCUGCCCCCGAGAGCGGGAUAGCCCUGGGAAACUGGGAUUAAUACCGCAUAGUAUCGAAAGAUUAAAGCAGCAAUGCGCUUGGGGAUGGGCUCGCGGCCUAUUAGUUAGUUGGUGAGGUAACGGCUCACCAAGGCGAUGACGGGUAGCCGGUCUGAGAGGAUGUCCGGCCACACUGGAACUGAGACACGGUCCAGACACCUACGGGUGGCAGCAGUCGAGAAUCAUUCACAAUGGGGGAAACCCUGAUGGUGCGACGCCGCGUGGGGGAAUGAAGGUCUUCGGAUUGUAAACCCCUGUCAUGUGGGAGCAAAUUAAAAAGAUAGUACCACAAGAGGAAGAGACGGCUAACUCUGUGCCAGCAGCCGCGGUAAUACAGAGGUCUCAAGCGUUGUUCGGAAUCACUGGGCGUAAAGCGUGCGUAGGCUGUUUCGUAAGUCGUGUGUGAAAGGCGCGGGCUCAACCCGCGGACGGCACAUGAUACUGCGAGACUAGAGUAAUGGAGGGGGAACCGGAAUUCUCGGUGUAGCAGCGAAAUGCGUAGAUAUCGAGAGGAACACUCGUGGCGAAGGCGGGUUCCUGGACAUUAACUGACGCUGAGGCACGAAGGCCAGGGGAGCGAAAGGGAUUAGAUACCCCUGUAGUCCUGGCAGUAAACGGUGCACGCUUGGUGUGCGGGGAAUCGACCCCCUGCGUGCCGGAGCUAACGCGUUAAGCGUGCCGCCUGGGGAGUACGGUCGCAAGAUUAAAACUCAAAGAAAUUGACGGGGACCCGCACAAGCGGUGGAGUAUGUGGCUUAAUUCGAUGCAACGCGAAGAACCUUACCUGGGCUUGACAUGUAAUGAACAACAUGUGAAAGCAUGCGACUCUUCGGAGGCGUUACACAGGUGCUGCAUGGCCGUCGUCAGCUCGUGUCGUGAGAUGUUUGGUUAAGUCCAGCAACGAGCGCAACCCCUGUUGCCAGUUACCAGCACGUGAAGGUGGGGACUCUGGCGAGACUGCCCAGAUCAACUGGGAGGAAGGUGGGGACGACGUCAGGUCAGUAUGGCCCUUAUGCCCAGGGCUGCACACGUACUACAAUGCCCAGUACAGAGGGGGCCGAAGCCGCGAGGCGGAGGAAAUCCUAAAAACUGGGCCCAGUUCGGACUGUAGGCUGCAACCCGCCUACACGAAGCCGGAAUCGCUAGUAAUGGCGCAUCAGCUACGGCGCCGUGAAUACGUUCCCGGGUCUUGCACUCACCGCCCGUCA
rnacentral:rRNA from 1 species